CAGAAUCAACAUGAGCAAGAGGAGAGGAGAUAGCCAGCCCUUUUGGUGCUAAUAAAGGAGGAGCAGAGGGAGGUCAGAAUGGCAGGCAGGAGGAGAUCAGCAGCACAGUGAGCAGGCAGGACCUAGUAGCAAAGAGGCAUCGUAAUCAACUUGACAAUCAUGAGAUAAUCAGCACUCAACAACAGAAGAUAACGCCGUUCUGGACGGGCUGUGCGUCUUAAAGAGGAUGACGGCCGUGUGAAGGACACCGUUUCCCUACUGUGCUGAAUGAAAUAUAUGACAAAUAAUGAGGACGCAAUCCAUUAUCCAGAACUGUGGAGGGCUACUGCUGAGAAAACAGAUUUAAAGUUUAUUUCAUUUAUGCUUUGUAAUAAAACAAAUGCAGCUUUG